UAUGCUACCUAUAUCUGUGACUUAAGGAUGUAUGCUACCUAUAACUGUGACUUCAGGAUGUAUGCUACCUAUAACUGUGAGUUAAGGAUUUAUGCUACCUGUAACUGUGACUUAAAGACAAAAGAGUUUCACACUAUUAGACCUGUGAAGAAUACUGCUAUUUCAUGUAUACAUCUUGAAAGAAACUCAGGAAUAGGACAUGAGGAUCCCGAUUUACCUCCUGACAAUAUUCAUUUAAUAGAACGUAAGGGAGGUAACUCUGGUGCAAAUGGCAGGUGCACUGUGGGAGGUAGUAUAUAUAUCCUUAACAUCAUGGUUCACUUCAGUGAAUUACUUUUUAGUUUCGAUGUGAUUUGCAUCAAUAAUCAGCAUUAUUUUUUUUUUCUGGUGUUUCAUAUAUUUUUCUAGCUUGUCAAAUUUAUCAACAAAAAUUAACCAAAGAUUUUUGUUUCAUCCUUAAAAUUUGCUUUCCAAGCUGUAUUCUUUUUAAAAGUUGAUGUUGUGAAAAUGAAUAUCAUUAAAAUCAAACAGAAAUGGCAUAAGUGUUGUAACAUUAUCGAUUUUCAAAUUAACAAAAUCUAUAAUAUAUGCUUAAUAAAUUUCAAUUUGGUAAAUUAUAUAAAUGUUGAAUUGUAAUUUAUGAUAUACAUAUAUAUAUACAUAAGUUGUAACUUGAGUCAAAUCAUACUUAUUUAUCAACUUAAUGUUUUUUCUUAUUGAGUAAGAUGUUAGUGAUUAUAAUUUGUGGAUAAAAUGGAAACAAAUUGUUAAUUGAAUAUUUAUUGCUAAUUUUUGUGUCUAUCUCUCCAACAAUUGGUUUUAUGUGAUGGUAUGAGAGCUGAUUUUACAAAGUUUCAUCAUAAAGUGUUGUAAGUAAUAAAAGUUUAAGAGCCAGGAUAUUUUAAUGGCACAACAUCAUCAUACAAAUCUCAAUCUUGACUGGAAAGUAAAACUCUUAAAUUAUAAUAUAAAUGCUGUAUUCUUUUAUUUAAACAAAUUGUAUCACGUCUAUUGAGGUGUACCAAGGUAUCUGAGAUACUGUUUUAAGUGCUAGCUGACACAGACUGUUUUACUUGUAUACAAAAGGUUGUUAAAUGUGUUUAUCAAAAUAAUGUCAUAUUAUAUCAAAAUAUACAUUUAUUAAAAUAAUGUCAUAUAAUUUCAAAAUCAAUGUUUUUUAUAAAAACAAUUAAAUUGGAAUAAGCUUAUAUGCUUUUAGUCUGCUUAUGAAUUAUACUGAACUGACGUUUAAACAAACUUUUUGCCUUCAUUGAUCAUUAUGAACCAUAUUAUAGAGAUACUUUAAAAGUCCCAUUAAAGGUUUAAGUUGCCAUGCAUUUGUAUAUAGUGCUAAUCAAUACAACUUUCUAGUUAAUUUACUGAGCGACAGUGACCCGGGAAUUCCACAUAUCACCUCAUUAGGAUGUCAGACGGAUCAAAUCACUAAAAGAUCGUUGUGAUCAUAUAAUAACGUUCCUGUCAGAAAUCGUUGCUGCAGCAUCAGUUGAUGGUGUUUUUGUAAAAGUUCCCCGUCAGCUGUUCUGUGUUGGGUCAGUACAUCAAGUUUUUGGACGUUUUUGUGGAACGGCUGGAUCUUCUAACAUUUUUUUUUUAUCAAGUCUGUAAAUUACACGGACAUUGAAAUAAUUGUCUGGAAACUUGUCAGGAAACAACAUCAGGCUGCUAGGUUCAACAAUAUUCGUAAACAAACGACUCCGAUCCAGGUGAUCAAAUCUUUUGGAAUGGAAUGCUGCAGCAUCAGUUGAUGGUGUUUUUGUAAAAGUUCCCCGUCAGCUGUUCUGUGUUGGGUCAGUACAUCAAGUUUUUGGACGUUUUUGUGGAACGGCUGGAUCUUCUAACAUUUUUUUUUUAUCAAGUCUGUAAAUUACACGGACAUUGAAAUAAUUGUCUGGAAACUUGUCAGGAAACAACAUCAGGCUGCUAGGUUCAACAAUAUUCGUAAACAAACGACUCCGAUCCAGGUGAUCAAAUCUUUUGGAAUGAAAGCAGCCUGACACUAAUAUGUUAGUGUGCGUUUACUGUCUAUGUACAAUUUAGCAAUAAAUGUCAAUCAAAUUUCCAUUUAAGAAUAAUCUUAAUUACGACAAGGAUUUGGUAAUUAUGUUUGAUUCAUUGCUUGACUUUUAUACUCAAUCAGGUUUAUCUAAUUUGACAUGUAUUCCCUUUUGUGUAGUGAAUAUAAUUAUGUAUUUACUUUUGCACAUUUCCCAUGUAAAAUACUCUAUCAGUUUGGUCAUGUGAUGAAAAUCAUCUUCAAUAUCAUUCGUCAUUUCGUUUGGAAUUACUUGUAUACAAAACUGUUUGUGACUGUGUAGACAAGUCGACUGAGUAAUCAUCUACGUCAGCUUUAGUUUUCGUUGAGAGCUUAGAUAUACAAACAAAUCCUAAUAUAUACUGAAGGUGUAAAUGUCUGGUAUUGUGAACGGUUACUGCUCAGUAGAUAACGCAUAUUUUGUGUGUAUUUUUUGUGUGGACAUGUAGUUUUAUUUCACUAAACAUGAAGACAUAAAAUUAUGUAACAUGAAGUAUGAUUAACUCAUUCACCCCUGAAAUUUGGUAAUGAACUAUUCCAACCUUUGAGUUGGAAGAGUUCAAAUGUGUCUUCAGGGGUGAAUGAGUUAAGAAAUAAAUUCUCAUGUGAUGCUAGAAUUAAUGAAUAAUGUUUCACACAAAAUUUACGUGGCAAUAUAAUGUUGUCAACAAAAUAUAAUUAAUCUAUAAAAAAUUACACAAUGUUUAGUUCAAACAUAUCAUGUUAUUUAUACGCUAUAAUUGUGUGCCCUUUUUGGCGUGUUUUGAAGUUUACGAAAUAUUUUUUUCCAUUUAUGCUCAAAUAUUUUCCAUAUCUUUCCUAUUCCUGCAGAGAAUGUUGGAUCUGAACCGAUCGCUGAAACUGAAAUGUUGGAUUUACUAUAAUUAGAAUUUCUGAUUUGAAUUUGCUUUACAAGUUAUCAUAAUUUUUCAAUUAUUUGAAUAUGACGGAAAAUAUGGCAGAAUAUGCAAAAGAAAACUGAGGUCUAAAAUUUUGAACAAGGAGAUAAACAGAGUAAUACUAAUAGCAUACAUGUGAUAUAAACAAACAGAUGUGUACAUUGUGGCUUGUUAUUCAGAGUAAUGCUUGUGACUUCAUUUACUGCUUCGUAGAGAAAGAAGUCCUCAAAUUUUACCUUCUGAAAUAUUUUUUCAUACUGGGCACAAAUGAAAUGGAGAUAUUUUUUCAGUCAAAUCACAUAAAGAUUUUUUUUUUUAUUACAAUUCUGAUUUGAGCAAAUCUCAUCUAUUUCAGAUCCGGCCCCAACAUGUUAACAAACAUCUAAAUUUUCUGAUUGAUUCACUUGAAAUUUUAUGUAUUAACAUAAAUUAUGAAGUUAGUAUUUCAAAAAAUGUGUUUCUCUAGAUUAAUCCUUCAAAAAUUUAAUUUUGAGUGAAAAAUCAGGUUGUAAAAUUUAAAGUUAUCUUGAUUUUUGCUUUUUGUGAUAAAAAGUUAUUGAAGAAAGCACGAUAAAAUAUAAUCAAAUAAGAUAUGUGCAUUGUGAUACAGAGAUUAAAGCUAAUUUAGGUUAGUCGAAGUUUGUCCUGAUAAGUUGGGGUCUCGGUGGAUGUUCUAUGGUGAUGGACUGUGUAAAUUGCCUGUUACUUGCUGCUCAAUUAUAUUAUCUGUGAUAUGUUCUGUCGCUUUGUCCAGUUGUUUUAUGAUUCAUAAGGAACAUACGAUUGUACUUAAGUGGUUCCUGACUCUCACUUGUCAUUGUUUAUCAACACAUUUUUUCACAAUAACAAAACGGCUUGUUCAAGUAAUCAAAAUCUUUGAACUAUGCAAACAUUCUGUUUGUUUGUGAUCUAUUUUUAAAAUUCACCUAUUUUCAUUAGACAUUUAUUGAAGGAUUGUUAACACAGAACAUGCCCCAAAGUCUGCAGAUUUAUGUCACUUUCUUCAUUAUCAACAACAUACACACUAGAGGUAGAGAGCAGACUUUUCCUGUGGUCAGCCACACCGGAUCAGUCCAGCUGAAGAAAAGUCUCUGACCUUCCCCACAAAUGACCAGAGUUAGAAUUAUCAAUGCUGUGUGGAAUAUAUUCCAUUCAUAGAAUUGUUUUGGACUCGUUUUCUUCAGGUGUGUCUCAUGUAGGACUUAAAGCUAGAUACUGAAACAAGGUUACAGCCUCUACAUAUAUAGGAGAAACAAAAGUAGACGAUGGCCCCUAUCUAGGAGAAAUAAGCACAGGCUACGACCUCUACGUAAGAGAAAUGUACGCUAUGGUCACUCUGUAGUAGAGCCUUUAUUUACAGGUAGCUACAGUCAUUACGUAAGAAAAACCUUAGUAGAAGAUGGCCACUAUCUAGGAGAAAUAAGCACAGGCUACGACCUCUACAUAAGAGAAACAAGGGUAGAUUACGAUAUCUGAGGAGGAGAAACAUUUAAAGUAACUAACUGCCCAAAUUGAAGACUUAUUGCAGAUUAAGUAUACUAGGAUUGAAAAGGUUAUUUAGAACAAACUGCCAAACUCUGACCUAAAUUGUGUUCAGAUUUAGAAUAUGAUUUCUAUCACACAUAUAUAUAUAUAUAUAUAUAUUGUUUUAUUUGAUAGAUCGACAGACUUUGUUCAUGUUGAAGAGGAAAUAUGUAUAUGACAAUUGUAUAGAGAUUUCAAAUUACAUGUAAAACAAUGGUUCGUAGUGCUUUGAGUCAUCACUAUGUUGUAAUCACUGGGAGAAGGUUUAUUGACCAGGCUGUCAUCUCUCCAAUAUAUCUAACAAACCAGUGAAGUCCUGACCGGUGAUAUAGGACCAUGCUAUCUGUUUAUAGAGGUGAUAUGUGACCAUGUUACCUGUUUAUAAAUAUGUGACCAUGUUACCUAGUUAUAAAGGUGAUAUGUGACCAUGUUACUUGUUUAUAGAUAUGUGACCACGUUACCUGUUUAUAAAUUAAAGGUGAUAUGUGACCAUGUUACCUGUUUAUAGAGGUGAUAUUUGAUCAUGUUACCUGUUUAUAAAUGUGAUAUAUGUCCAUGUUGAGAUUACGGCAAAACCAGUUAAAGAAAGAUAUAAAAUUACUGAUAAAUGGUGUGCGAAAACAAAUCUGCAAAGCCACAAAAUGAUCUUGAAAGUUUGUUUCAUAUUUACGGCAUAUGCAUACAUAUUUACUGCCAAGGCUUGCAAUAUAGAAAAUGAUAGGCAAUUUGAUUAACAAAUGAAAUUCUUUAGGUUUCCAUUAAAACAACAUGUAUCAAGAUUGCAGCUGUUAACAGAGUGUUACCUCAGAAAUAUAAGAUAAAUAAAAUAACAUUGGAUGUAAAAAUGACAAUUUUGUUUUCACUUACAAAUAUAUUAUCUCCACUGGGUAAUACUGCACUUGUGUACAACAUAGUUAACACACAUUGCACUUGAUAAUAGGAUUAUGUUUUAUUUAUUUUAAUGACAUGGUCAGAUGUUUUAAUGUUAAGUUUUUAAAUCACCCGGUUAUAUUUUCGUUUUUUUUUUCUGUUUGUUGAGAAUGUUGAGGUGAAAUAUUACUGAAGUUCUGUAAGAGUUGUGUACUAUACCAGUGUCAACGUUUGUGUUUUUGUUUAAUUACCUGUUACAUGUUAUUUGGUUGUAGUUUGUUGUAGUGAAGAACUAUCUAAUAGGUCCAAAUAUUUAGGUGUACUCAUUGACAGUCACUCAAUUGUGUGACAUCAGCAACAGUAGAUGUGGGCGGAGUUACCUAAGGGAGGGGGAGGGACAGGGGUGAAGGCAUAUGCAAAUAUCAGACUGCAUCUUUUUUUGAAUAUAUUCCCUCCAUAGCAUUUUUCGGGACUCAUUUUCUUAGGUUGUGUCUCAUGUUAUCUUUUAUUGAACAGAUCAGACAUGAAAUUUGUAUCUGUAUGGAAUAAUUAUGACACAUAAGCAGAAUUGUUUUUCUGUAAAUAUAAGGAAUAUCUUUCUAUUUUGAGACUUGUGUGUGUGGAAGCAGCCCGACACAUGGUAAUCUGUCCGGACUUGUUCUGUUUCUAUGACCUUUUGAUAUAAUAAGCUUUUGUUUCACUCAAACUCAUUUCCUCCACAGCUUCAGAUGAAUUAACUCAAAAUUAUUGAUUGAAAAAUUACCAAACUUAUUUUGAAUAAUUAUGAUGCCGGAAUUAUUUCCUCAGUGAAGCCAUUUUCUUAUCUUCCACCGUUAUUUUUUGUUAUAAGUAAAAAUAUGUUUUGAUAUUGAGUAAUCUAUUAUGAAAGAAAUGGUAGUUUACAUGGACUUUUUUGCUGAAUUUGGGGAAUAACUUUUGUUUUCUCUUUGUUUAAAAUACAUAUAAAGUUUAGAUGUUUUUUUUUAUUACUUACAAAUAGUUGAUCUUGCUUCUUUGUGUUUUGAAAAGAAAUUAGCCUGUUUAACAUGUUACAUCAUAUAGAUGGUAUUUAAAAUGUAUUUCCAGUCUUUUAUUGAAAGCUGCCAAUGGCAAAUGUUUAUGGCAACAUAUCUUGAUUGUCAACUUCGUUUGUGUGCAAAUUCUUACAGACAAAUCCGGGUACAAAACCCAAUGAUUGGCUUUGUUUCAUAAAUAGGGAGAAUAUAGAGUGGGUACGAGGUAAAUUUUGUGUCUUAAUUCCUUUAGAUAUAAAAGUGUCUUUAUUCUUACUGUGUCACUAUAUUAAUGGUCAUGUGAUGUGAGGGGAGAUAACUCUUACAGACAAAUCCGGGUACAAAACCCAAUGAGUGGCUUUGUUUCAUAAAUAGGGAGAAUAUAGAGUAGGUCCGAGGUACAUUUUGUGUCUUAAUUCCUUUUAAUAUAAAAGUGUCUUUAUUCUUACUGUGUCACUAUAUAUAUGUGAUGUGAGGGGAGGCAACUCCUACAGAGGAAAAGUGAUGAACGAGAGAGAACUCCAUCAUGGAUGUGUGACCCUUUCUACGGUUGAUUGCUGCUCUGCUUUGCCUUGUUAUUGUUAUUAUAUGAAAGUAUAUAUUUGUGCAUUAAAAGCAUGUAUGUUUUGUAAUUGUAGGGGACCUGUUUUGUUUGCUUGUCUAAUAAUGUAUUCUGUUAAAUUAGCUUUACUUUGGAGCAACACACAUAAUCAUAUCAGUCUCUUGGAAAAUAAUUUGAUGUUAGAGGUUCACAUUCAGAAUCUGACAUUUUCAUACGAUUUAAGAUGAUGUUCUUAAACUAUAUUAAAGAACAUAAAAAAUCAGCUUAUUAAAUGUGAGUAUUUGAUUUCAAUGGUUUUUUAUUUGACAGAAAUAUGGCACUAUAUAGUUUAUAUUACAAUGCUUUAGAAUUCCUGCUUAGUGCUAAACAGACUUCUAUAAUAGUAUACUGACCUUCUGCAGUUUUAUUUUGCCCAUGACAGAUAAAUCCCUGCAGUUUUGUCAGUUGCCUGGUUGUUAGUUUGAUGGUGUUACCUCACUUGUAGUAUUUGCUGUCAUGUUUUCGUCCUCUAAGCCUACCAAGUAUCUGUCCUUGCUAUAGAUACCAUGUUUUUGCAAUAUUAACAAAACAUGACCUGGAGCUCUCCAUUGUAUAUAGAUUUCAUACUAACACACCACUGCAAUAAAACAAACUUGCAGACUUUGAAGUCUGUUCUAAAUCCCCAGUAACUAUGUAACUAAUUUUAUCCAAAAAUGUUGGAUAUUGUUAUGUAUUAGUUUGAUUUUGAAUUAUCAAAUUAAAAUUGUUUAAAUU